rfam:Otolemur garnettii contig012371, whole genome shotgun sequence.
GCUCCUUGCUUAGGUGCAUGUCCUAAUAUGGGAAUAGUACAGAGAAUAUUAGCACAGCCCCUGUGCAAGGAAGACAUGUGGAUUUGUCAAAAUUUUAUGAACUAAUU